rnacentral:rRNA from 1 species
UACGUAGGUGGCAAGCGUUAUCCGGAUUUACUGGGUGUAAAGGGCGUGUAGGCGGGGACGCAAGUCAGAUGUGAAAACCACGGGCUCAACCUGUGGCCUGCAUUUGAAACUGUGUUUCUUGAGUACUGGAGAGGCAGACGGAACUCCUAGUGUAGCGGUGAAAUGCGUAGAUAUUAGGAGGGACACCAGUGGCGAAGGCGGUCUGCUGGACAGCAACUGACGCUGAGGCGCGAAAGCGUGGGGAGCAAACAGG